rnacentral:lncRNA from 1 species
CUUGUCAUGGUGUUGGAUGGCCACAUUGCUGUGGUGGUGGGGGAAGCAUUGCCAAUUGCUCAAAUGCCUGCAUUAGGCGAUUGAGUUGCUCCAUCAUCUCUUCUUGACGCUGCUAAAGCCCCAUGAUCUGAGCUUAUUCCAGACUCAUGCCACUAGGAAUAACAGGGGCCUCGUCUCCUCCAGACAUGAUUUGGAUGCCAAACACUCCCUCAGGCUCUGAUACCAAAUGAUGUGCCCAGGUCUGAAUAACUAUCUCAUGUAGGUAAGGAUAAAGGUUGGAGUGCAAGAAAUUUAAAAAAAACAACACUCAAGAAAAGGAGAACGUGAGUGAUAAGUUCUAGGGUUUGUAACUCAUCACUAAUACACAAGGGUUAGAUGAGAGAAUUCAGCAACACUCAUUUUUAUUCAUUGAAGUCUGAAUAAAAUACAUAGAUCGCCUCUCUUUAUAUAGAUAUGAGAGGGAACAUAAGGCAAAUUCAAUAAAUGGAAGGGAAUAACAGAAUUUUACUAUUAUGAAAAUGAUGGUGGCUGUAUCUUGCUAAUAUGAAAAUGAUGGUGGCUGCAUCUUGCUACAAAAAAAAUGAUGGUGGUUGCAUCUUGCUAUUAAGAAAAUCAUAGUGGCUGCAUUUUACUAUUAAGGAAAUGAUAAUGGCUGUAUCUUGCUAUUAAGAAAAUUAUGGUGGCUGCAUCUUGCUACAAAGAAAAUGAUGGUGGCUGCUAAAUGAUGGAUUAGAGAAGAACAAAACAACCUUCUAGACUCAAUCCUUUCCUAAGCAAUAGCUUCCUUCAAUUGCUGUCAAGUCGGAUUCGCACCAACAUCAUGUUUCUACGCAAGCGAGCAAAGUCAUCAAUUUGGCUCUUGCUUGUGUAAUUGGAUCCAUGUAUGGUAUCUGAUCAUCUCUUUCUUCAUGAUGGUGCACACCAUUAUACCCUUGGGAUCAUGUGCAUCUUGAAGUUGAAAAACUAGCAUGGACGAGACCAUGAGCUGUCCAGCAUAGUGCCUCUUAGAGGAUUUCUAUUACUAGCUGUGAAGGGGAGAAUGCUUAUUUCUCUAAUUUAGGUUCUUGAUACAAGAAAAUUGAAAAGGUCACUUAUCCGUCUCAUGAAUCAUGACCCUAGGUAUUGUAAUCUACUCCUUAAACACUUGGGUGAGCAAUUCUAGUAAUUUUGCAUGUACCAUCACUCUAAGAGACGGUCUCUCAGAUGAUUGAUGUGGACAGUCAGAGAAUCAAUAGAUAAUUGCAUUGGAACGUAUGAAAUGCUUGCUUAUUAUAAUUGAAUGAAGAUUUUACACUAAGUUCCAUCUGAAUUUUAUGUUUGAGAAAAGGGAGGAAGACCAAUCUGUACUAUAAUUACCCAAGCCAAAUACUUGGGGUUGCACCACCUAAGACUGAAACCUAGAACCUCUAGUUGCCAAGCAAAGGGGUGCGACUGUUGGGGCAAAACCCAGCUCAAGUUCCAUCAAAAUUUUAUUAGCAACUUUUGACUUUUUUGCUUCCAAGUUUCAGAUCCAGUUACAUGUUAUACAAGUAGUCGAGCAGGGUUACCAUCUAGUUAUCUCUUUCUAAGGAUCUCAUGUGGGUUAGUAACUUUUGUUGAUCAAAGACACAGCUUUGAGAAACAUAAAUGGCCAUAUGUUAUUCCUAUUACAUGGUUUCUGGCUAAGAACUAUACAUACAGUUAGGAUUCGGUGUGGUUCAAUCGUUCAAGACUUUAAAGUUGCUCAAUAGACCAAGUGGCAACACUUCCAUAACAGAAGGCGUGGUUCGCCAAACUAGCUUGAACAGAGCGAUUCUGGAUGUGCUGAACUGUACCGAUGGCUAACCGAUGUGGUUUAGUCGUUGGAUUCAGAAUGUCGGCAAAAACGAAGUAAGGAAGAAGGAAAGAGAGAAGGGGAGGGAAGGGGAGAAGAAGACCGACGGUGGCCCACCGAGGCCAUCGGAGGGCUGCCAAACUCCGGGUCUCUACGGUCCUCCACAAGAGGCUGAGAAGAAAGAGAGAUAGAGAGAGGGGGGGAA